AUUGAACGCUGGCGGCAGGCCUAACACAUGCAAGUCGAGCGGAUGAAGGGAGCUUGCUCCUGGCUUCAGCGGCGGACGGGUGAGUAAUGCCUAGGAAUCUGCCUGGUAGUGGGGGAUAACGUCAGGAAACGGGCGCUGAUACCGCAUACGUCCUGAGGGUGAACGUGGGGGAUCUUCGGACCUAACGCUAUUAGAUGAGCCUAGGUCGUAUUAGCUAGUUGGUGUGGUAAAGGCUUACCAAGGCGACGAUCCGUAACUGGUCUGAGAGGGUGAUCAGCCACACUGGAACUGAGACACGGUCCAGACUCCUACGGGAGGCAGCAGUAGGGAAUAUUGGGCAAUGGGCGAAAGCCUGAUCGAGCCAUGCCGCGUGUGUGAAGAAGGUCUUCGGAUUGUAAAGCACUUUUAGUUGGGAGGAAGAGCAGUAAGAGAAAACCUUGCUGUUUUGACGUUACCAACAGAGUAAGCACCGGCUAACUUCGUG
rnacentral:rRNA from 1 species